CACACACACACACACACCAACACCUUACCCACUCCCACAACUGAGAGCAACAGGAAGGUAGGGACAGUCCUGCUUCAGCGCGCGCGCACACACACACACACACACACACACACUCACUCACUUACACACACACAAACCUACAGGCUGAAAAUCAGCUGGGCAAAAGAUGCAGGAAAAAAAAAGAAAACAGAUCAGAGAGCAUGUUGAUAGGGUAAAAAAAAAAAGAAAAGAAAAGAAAAAAUGACACGCAAAUGUUUAUACAUACGCACACACACACGCGCUGUGUGGAUAUGUAUACAUGCACACACAAACAUACAAACACACGUAUUUGUAAAGAUAUCUCUGUAUGCACGUGAAAGUGUUAUGUAUAUGCACGUAUAUCUAUCUGUCUAUCUGUAUCUGCAUGCAUGUAGAUCGAUCAAGCCGUGAGUUCAGUAAAAGCUUAUAUUUCACAAGUAUAGUCUUCCUUUCUCACCUAUAUAUAUAUAUAUAUAUAUAUAUAUAUAAAAACAUUUAUUAUCUACUGUUCAUAUGGAUCUAUGACUGAAAGCUCCCAAGCUACGCAGCAGUAAAAAAAACACGAGGAAACUGGAAUUCUGUCUCACAAUACACACACACACACACAAAACAAAAAUGAAGUUAGUAUACAUAAAUUAUGAAGGGGUUUGAAGAACCCCUCACCAUCACCAGGGAGUGUUUGAACAAGUCACCAGAACUAUAGCAAAAGACAAUUUUCUAUUGAUUGUUAAAACAGUUAUUGUUUAGCCCAAGGUCAGAACUGACCAAGCAGAGCUAUGAUCAAAAACAUUCCAUCUGAGACCACCCGCUAUUUUUUUUUUUUUACCUAUGUGCACAGAACUCAGGAUCAUACCAUCUAGACCGCUUUUUCUUCAAAGUUGGUAGGAAGUGAUGAGGGAGAUUUGGCUGCUAUUUCCAGCAGGCAGAACGACCAUGUAAAGGCUCCGUCUUUUGCUUCGAACACCUGUGUUUUAGAGAACAAGACAACCCUCUGGUACUGGUAGACAAAUGAAUGGAGACAACAUAGGGUAGAGAGAACUGUUUAGUCUUACAGAGAACAUAACAACCUCUGUAGUGUUGGUGCCAUAGUAAAAAGCACUCUCCACACACUGUAAAGUGGUUAUCUACAGAAAAAAUGCCAAAAAUGGAAUAUGCAAGAGAGAUGUGGUGCCCAACCUAUCUCAUUUAUGCAUGAUACCCUGAUUCAGUUCACAACCUGUACACGCAAGCAGGGAAAGUAAACAAAUAAUGAUGAUGAUCAUGAUAUAACUGUUGGAAACAAGCCAAUAUAGGGGUAGUCAUUGUGUCAAAUGACUUGUUAAAAAUAGCAACUAUAUCUCCCUCAAACUAUAUCCUGCCAUCCAUCUUAAGAUACAUUUGAUAACCUAAUACUGAAUGCAGUGUCUAAAAAACAAAAAUUAAAAAGAUGGGAUGAUUAUAGUUGCAAUAACUUUUGAUUACAGAUGUGCUUGAUCAGAGCUGACAGCUCAACAGAAACCCAUAUCCGGUCCACUCUAUGGCUCAAGAACUUCUCCAGCUGCCCUGACACAAUAAAGCAUUCAGUCCUUUUUCUUCAAUUAAACACCAAACAAUGAGUUGAUGCUAAUGAAGGAGACUCUACAGGGUCACUCAAUCUGCUAGAAAUAACAGGAAGGAGAAUGUGUAAUGUUUAUCGAGAAGUAAGUUCAAACAAGGAAAAAGACUGGGAGGAAAAAAGCCAAGCCGAACCUGUUUAGCAACCUCAGCAAUGUUGAAACAAUCAGGACUAAAUCAAAUGGAAAGAUAUGGUAGAUCAAUGGCUUGGUGACAAGUGGUACCAACACCAAAUGGCAAGUGGAGGAAUUCUCCAAAAUUGACACGCCAUUAAAGAAAUGACCAUCUGAGUAAGUUACUAGUGUGAUAAACAAAUAUACUAGUCAAUAAUUUAAUAGAAUAAGUUGACAUCUUCAUGCUAUUCACCUUCAAAAUAUUAUUAUUAAUAUCAAUAAAAAUCAAUAUCAUUUAUUACAAACUUUUUUUUUUUAGAUGUAUUGAUCUCACAAUAAAAAUAAUAAUUUCCUGAAUUGCAACAGAGGUUUUUAAUAGCAACACUAGCCCCUCCCCCUAUCUAUCUAUCUCUUCAUCCCAACGUUUUAUUGCUCAUCUGUGAGUUAAAAAUGGUACUUUUUAUAUAUUUUUUUAAGAAAUAAAAGAGGAUAUUGGCUAGUAGGAUGCAAUGAAAUGACAGUUGAGAGUUAAAUUGAUGAUCUUUAAACAAAGACUCUAGAAGAUUCAUUACAAGAACACUAUGUCACUCAGGAAUGAUACAAAACAAUACAUAAGAAAUUUCCAAUCAGUGA